AUGAGGCAGCUUCUCGCCGACGAGAAGAGGAUGAAUCGUCUCGGCCUCAUGCACCGGGACCUCAAGCCGAAGAACCAUGGUGGAUGGGCCGCCUACUCUAACCCUAUUGGGACACUGGGAUACCGCGCACUAGAAAUCCUCCUCGGAUCCACGGAUUACGACAAGCGUGUCGACUCAUGGGCUCUCGGCGUCAUGAUGACCGAGCUCCUCGCUGGCCAGCACCCUUUCCAUGGGAGGACAGACAUGGAGCACCUCAGCGAAAUCUUGGACCUUCUCGGCACUGUAGACAUCAAAGAGUGGUCUGGCUACGAUUGGCGGAGGCUACCGGGCGGAUGCCAACUAGGAAGCUUCUUGCGCAGCAAGUUCCCCUGUCCCACUCAGGCUAGGACAAAAGGCCCGCCAACCUUAUCGGAGGCCGGCUUCGAGGUCUUGAGCGGUCUACUACGAUGCAACCCGGAGAAGAGGCUCACAGCCGAGCAAGCCCUCAAACAUCGGUGGUUCAAGGACGCCAACCCUAGAGCUACAAGGGUUGAUCGAUUAGCAUGCAUAAUCACAUCUAAUUUGUGA
rnacentral:rRNA from 1 species